GAUGAACGCUGGCGGCGUGCCUAAUACAUGCCAGUCGAGCGAACAGACGAGGAGCUUGCUCCUCUGACGUUAGCGGCGGACGGGUGAGUAACACGUGGAUAACCUACCUAUAAGACUGGGAUAACUUCGGGAAACCGGAGCUAAUACCGGAUAAUAUAUUGAACCGCAUGGUUCAAUAGUGAAAGACGGUUUUGCUGUCACUUAUAGAUGGAUCCGCGCCGCAUUAGCUAGUUGGUAAGGUAACGGUUUACCAAGGCAAUGAUGCGUAGCCGACCUGAGAGGGUGAUCGGCCACACUGGAACUGAGACACGGUCCAGACUCCUACGGGAGGCAGCAGUAGGGAAUCUUCCGCAAUGGGCGAAAGCUUGACGGAGCAACGCCGCGUGAGUGAUGAAGGUCUUCGGAUCGUAAAACUCUGUUAUUAGGGAAGAACAAAUGUGUAAGUAACUAUGCACGUCUUGACGGUACCUAAUCAGAAAGCCACGGCUAACUACGUG
rnacentral:rRNA from 1 species